rnacentral:rRNA from 1 species
CCCUUAGAUGUUCUGGGCCGCACGCGCGCUACACUGAUGCAUUCAACGAGUUUCUUCCUGGUCCGAGAGGAAUGGGUAACCUUUUGAAAGUGCAUCGUGAUAGGGAUAGACUAUUGCAAUUAUUGGUCUUCAACUAGGAAUUCCUAGUAGACGUAGUUCAUCAGACUGCAUCGAUUACGUCCCUGCCCUUUGUACACACCGCCCGUCGCUCCUACCGAUUGAAUGCUCAGGUGAGCCAUUCGGACUUUCAUCAUGCUGGUUUCCAGUUUUGAUGAAGGAAAGUCUUGCGAACCUUAUCAUUUAGAGGAAGGAGAAGUCGUAACA